GAUGAACGCUGGCGGCGUGCCUAAUACAUGCACGUCGAGCGAAGAGGGGACGGGUGAGUAACACGUGGAUAACCUCCUCUAAGCCUGGGAUAACUUAGGGACACCGGAGCUACACCGGCUACUUAUAGAUGGAUCCGAGCUGCAUUAGCUAGUUUGUACGGUAACUGCGUACCAAGGCAACGAUGCAUAGCCGACCUGAGAGGGGGAUCUGCCACACUGGAACUGAGACACGGUCCAGACUCCUACGGGAGGCAGCAGUAGGGAAUCUUCCGCAAUGGGCGAAAGCCUGACGGAGCAACGCCGCUUGAGUGAUGAAGGUCUUCGGAUCGUAAAACUCUGUUAUUAGGGAAGCGGUACCUAAUCAGAAAGCCACGGCUAACUACGUGCCAGCAGCCGCGGUAAUAC
rnacentral:rRNA from 1 species